CAAGACGAACGCUGGCGGCGCGCCUAACACAUGCAACUCGAACGAGCGAGAGAGAGCUUGCUUUCUCGAGCGAGUGGCGAACGGGUGAGUAACGCGUGAGGAACCUGCCUCAAAGAGGGGGACAACAGUUGGAAACGACUGCUAAUACCGCAUAAGCCCACAGGUCGGCAUCGACCAGAGGGAAAAGGAGCAAUCCGCUUUGAGAUGGCCUCGCGUCCGAUUAGCUAGUUGGUGAGGUAACGGCCCACCAAGGCAACGAUCGGUAGCCGGACUGAGAGGUUGAACGGCCACAUUGGGACUGAGACACGGCCCAGACUCCUACGGGAGGCAGCAGUGGGGAAUAUUGCACAAUGGGGGAAACCCUGAUGCAGCGACGUCGCGUGGAGGAAGAAGGUCUUCGGAUUGUAAACUCCUGUUGUUGAGGAAGAUAAUGACGGUACUCAACAAGGAAGUGACGGCUAACUACGUGCCAGCAGCCGCGGUAAAACGUAGGUCACAAGCGUUGUCCGGAAUUACUGGGUGUAAAGGGAGCGCAGGCGGGAAGACAAGUUGGAAGUGAAAUCUAUGGGCUCAACCCAUAAUCUGCUUUCAAAACUGUUUUUCUUGAGUAGUGCAGAGGUAGGCGGAAUUCCCGGUGUAGCGGUGGAAUGCGUAGAUAUCGGGAGGAACACCAGUGGCGAAGGCGGCCUACUGGGCACCAACUGACGCUGAGGCUCGAAAGUGUGGGUAGCAAACAGGAUUAGAUACCCUGGUAGUCCACACCGUAAACGAUGAUUAUUAGGUGUUGGAGGAUUGACCCCUUCAGUGCCGCAGUUAACACAAUAAGUA
rnacentral:rRNA from 1 species